rnacentral:rRNA from 1 species
AGAACGAACGCUGGCGGCAUGCCUAACACAUGCAAGUCGAACGAGACCUUCGGGUCUAGUGGCGCACGGGUGCGUAACGCGUGGGAAUCUACCCUUGGGUUCGGAAUAACAGUUGGAAACGACUGCUAAUACCGGAUGAUGACGUAAGUCCAAAGAUUUAUCGCCCAGGGAUGAGCCCGCGUAGGAUUAGCUAGUUGGUGAGGUAAAGGCUCACCAAGGCGACGAUCCUUAGCUGGUCUGAGAGGAUGAUCAGCCACACUGGGACUGAGACACGGCCCAGACUCCUACGGGAGGUAGCAGUGGGGAAUAUUGGACAAUGGGCGAAAGCCUGAUCCAGCAAUGCCGCGUGAGUGAUGAAGGCUUAGGGUU